AUUGAACGCUGGCGGCAUGCCUUACACAUGCAAGUCGAACGGCAGCACGGGAGCAAUCCUGGUGGCGAGUGGCGAACGGGUGAGUAAUAUAUCGGAACGUGCCCAGUCGUGGGGGAUAACGCAGCGAAAGCUGUGCUAAUACCGCAUACGAUCUACGGAUGAAAGCGGGGGAUCGCAAGACGUCGCGCGAUUGGAGCGGCCGAUAUCAGAUUAGCUAGUUGGUGAGGUAAAGGCUCACCAAGGCGACGAUCUGUAGCUGGUCUGAGGGGACGACCAGCCACACUGGAACUGAGACACGGUCCAGACUCCUACGGGAGGCAGCAGUGGGGAAUUUUGGACAAUGGGCGCAAGCCUGAUCCAGCAAUGCCGCGUGCAGGAUGAAGGCCUUCGGGUUGUAAACUGCUUUUGUACGGAACGAAACGGUGAACUCUAGUACAGUUUGCUAAUGACGGUACCGUAAGAAUAAGCACCGGCUAACUACGUGCCAGCCGCCGCGGUAA
rnacentral:rRNA from 1 species